CAGACAUGAAUACCACAGCACAGAAAAAAGAAACAGCAACAUAACACAGAUAUGCACCAAUUGCUCUGAAUCUAGGCAAACCCAAAAACCCACAGGUAUUCUAAAUUCACAGAGCCACUCACAGACAGAGACAGAGAGAGAGAGAGAGAGAAGAAGAAGAAGAAUGAGAAUUUGUAUGUAAAUGCAACGCAGAUCGGAAAAGUAAAGAAAAGCAGAGGCUGAGGCCAACCCAACACUUGGAAUUCAUCCAAUUUCUCAUCAAAAGCACUUCUAAAUCCAUAUCCAAAUCCAGUUAUCUGGAUACCCAAUUUUUCCGACACAUGUCACCAAACUACCCACCUGAUCAUUUCUAAGCAACCCAAACAGAGACAUCACUCACCAUCACCAAACCCACCAACACAACCUCACCAAAAUCCCACCCAAUUCAAAUUCCAUGAGGAACCCAUCUCCAAGUUUCUCUUGCCAUUACAUGCCCUUUGCUCAGCUCCCCACAAAAGGCCUACAAUGAACCAAACACCUUCCAGUCUUUCCCACUCUCCUACACUCUCCUCUCUUCACCACCACCACCACCACCACAACCAAAGUUCUUUGAAUUCAGGCUCUUCUUCUUCUUCACAUUCAUUUCUGUGUUCUGCUUCACUUGCAAUCAUUCCCUUUGCCACGAGAUCACUGGCUGUCAAACUUUUUCGCCAUUUCCGCUGUGCCCAUUUGCUCAGAGUCCACUGUCGCUUGCUUAUCCUCCUUUCAGUGCCUUCCCUUUACUUCAUCACAAGUCCUCGCCGGUCUUUCCUUCUUGAUUUCCUCUCUGUAAUCGCUUUCUCGGCAGCCCUUUUGAUUUCUCUGAAUAUUGCACUUCCUCGUUUUGUUUCAAUUCGCUUGUUUCUUUCCCGCUCUUUGCCAAUUAAGCUUUGUUCAUCUUCUUGCGUCCCUAAGCCCCCUCAGCCUGUUCUUUGGUCAAUUGGGCAGAAGCCAAAAUUGGAGAAAAGGCCAAAUUCUGGGUCUUGGGUGCAGGUUUAUAGUAAUAAGGAUGUUUAUGAGGGUGAAUUUGAUAGAGGAAAGUGUUCAGGAAGUGGGGUUUAUUACUAUCAUAUGAGUGGGAGAUAUGAAGGUGAUUGGAUAGAUGAGAAGUAUGAUGGUUAUGGUGUGGAGACUUGGGCAAGAGGAAGCCGGUAUCGUGGACAGUAUAGGCAGGGGUUAAGGCAUGGGAUUGGGGUUUAUAGAUUCUUCACUGGUGAUGUUUAUGCUGGAGAGUGGUCUAAUGGGCAGUGCCAUGGGUGUGGAAUACUUACGUGUGAGGACGGGAGCCGUUAUGUUGGAGAGUUCAAGUGGGGUGUCAAGCAUGGACUAGGUCAUUAUCAUUUCAGAAAUGGGGAUAGGUAUGCUGGGGAAUAUUUUGCUGACAAGAUGCACGGUUUUGGAGUAUAUCAGUUUGGGAAUGGGCACCGGUAUGAAGGAGCCUGGCACGAAGGAAGAAAGCAGGGACUUGGUAUGUACACUUUCAGAAGUGGGGAAACACAAUCUGGGCAUUGGCAAAAUGGGGUUCUAGAUAUUCCCAGUGUGCAAAAUACCCAUCCUGGAUCUCCCCGUGCUGUCAACCAUGCCAGAGUGCUUAAUGCAGUCCAGGAAGCACAAAGAGCUGCUGAGAGAGCAUAUGAAGUGGCCAAAGUGGAUGAAAGGGUGAAGAAAGCCGUAGCAAUAGCUAAUAAAGCAGCAAAUGCUGCAAGAGUUGCAGCUGUAAAGGCUGUGCAGAAACAGAUACACCCAUUACAACAAUGAUGGCAACAGCACUACCCCGCAGCUCGCCUCAGCUUUACAGACCAUUCAGCAUCAACAUCAUGCUUCUGCGGCUGAAUCGUCACAGCGUAUUUUUAUUUACUGUUAGACAAAGCCACAGAAGCACGAGGAAAGAAGACCACACAGACUGGUCAUUUGCUUUUCUUUUCUGUUUCUUUCUUCUGCAUUUAUGUUGUGAUGGGGAAUACGAGGUACCUGCCUGGAACCACAUUCAGUCAUUGAUAUAUAUGGCUGACUGAGGAGCAGGCAGGCUUUCCCCUUUUUGUAGCCUCAACAAUAUGUACAUAAGAUGAGUAAGGAGUGUCCAAGUUAUAAACCAAGGUUAGCAACUCGGCACGAAGGUUCUGAAUUUAGUCCAUGGUUCGAGUUUACAUUUUUGCUUCCUCUUGUAAAAGCUACUGCUUAUUAUUGUAUGUAAUUGUGCCUGGAUGAAGACUAUCCAGUCUGGUGUUAUUUGUGUACUAUGUGCCCUCCAGGAAAAAAAAAAAGGAAGAAAAAAGGGAAAAAGCAGAGAAAUGGUGUAUAAUGUAUAUGAGGAUGAACUUGCAGCC